AGGGCGGGUGAGGACCCUGCACACACACGGUGUGUUUGUGAGCUGUGCAGAGUGGGGUCUCCCUGGCAAUGGCCACAGCCUCCAGGGGCGCUGACACCUCCCGUCUAACUGGUAGACAGUUUCUGCCUCUUCUUGUUUGGGGAUUGGAGAGGGAAGUGCGUCUGGAUGACUACUAAGAUGAGGAGGCUGAGGCCUAGUGCUCCUAGCGGGCUUGGUCAAGAGCAGGAGGCGGAGGUGGUGGAAGGCUGUUUCCCUGCGAGAAUACACUGCAUCGAACACAGAACAAAAAGACUCACUACAACGCUGCAGCCACAAUAGUGUGUGAUUUCAAGUCUUAAAAACCAGAAUCACUUUCUUCUCUGGACUGGAAGCAUAUUUAUUUUGGCCGUAAAAAUACUCGACUGCAAGACUAUGAGUGUGCAGAUAAUUCUGCUGCUUACUCCGAUUGGAGGUGUCUCCAGGGAGUUUCCAAGCACAGGAAGCAUUCCUGCUCUGAGGUUUCGGAAGAACACUUUCAGCAGGAUUUUGGGUCACUGAAAUGAAAGUGAACUAUGCUCUGUACAAAUGUAUCAUGUUUAAUUCAGGAGAAAUUCAUGCAUUUCUUUGUUCUAUAAAUAUUUACUGGCAGCUCGUUUUGUAUAGGAGGCUGCCACCUCCCAAAAGCCCCCUGCUCCUCGAGUGGGUUGAGCCUGAAACCCCACAUCCACAGACGUGCCCAGCGGCCUUGGGUGCUCAACACAGGCUCGUUCAGAAUAACAGAGUACACCAGUCAUCAUAAGAAGAAAAAUUCACAUUUAAAGUUUGGAAAGCAACAGGACAAAGGUCUGUCUUCAGUGGUGCGUAGACAUGCUCGUGAUUGAAUUGGAAAUAGUUCUCUUUCCUUCUCUCUGACUUCCUAACUGAAAAGCUGCAGCGUGGGGAGAAAGGCUGCUCAGAAGCCUGGAGCCAGAACACGCACCCCGGCUUUUGCAGGGCCGGCUCACUUGGUUAGAAUCAAAGGAAAAGCCUUGUUAUUUGGGAAGCUGGGCGUCCUCACCAAAUUAGGGGAUUUAAUUUGCAGAUAUCUAAGGAGUGCUUUGAAAUGAAAGAUGAACUAAAAUCUGCUCUGAGGCCCGUGAUUUUUCACCAGUGAAGGACUCUCUUGCUGCUGGACAUACAUGAAAAGCAUCAUCUGAUCUGAAACGCAAGUCCCUGCAAGACAGAGGAGAGACUUUAUAAACAUUUUAUACCAUUCUAUGAAAUCAAUUCGAUUCAGGGCUAGAAUUCAAGAAGUAAUCCAUGGGCAAGUAUAUCUGAUGGUAAACCCAAACGAUUAUAUUGUUAACCUCUUGUACUUUUUUUAAUUUUUUAUUAUUUGAUAUUAUUAUCACAAAAGUCGCUGGAACAGGAUCCAUGAGCUGCUUCUUCACUGCUUAGUGUUUUCAGAAGCUGAUGGAUUAUUAAGCUCCAAUUGAAUACUUGAUUUCCAAUGAUUCCAUUAAUUUUUCUGGUUUGUGGUAGGAUUUGAUUUACUUAUUUUGUACUUUAACACACCAAUAAAAAAUAGAUACUAAGAAA
ensembl:lncRNA LINC00683 long intergenic non-protein coding RNA 683